GAUGAACGCUAGCGGCAGGCCUAAUACAUGCAAGCCGAACGGCAAGUUUUGUAGCAAUACGGAACCUAGAGUGGCGUAAGGGUGCGUAACACGUAUGCAAUCUGCCCUCAACAGGAGGAUAGCUCCCCGAAAGGGGAAUUAAGCCUCCAUGGGAUCGUAGGGAGGCAUCUUCCAGCGAUUAAAUUACAAGAGGUUGAGGAUGAGCAUGCGCAUGAUUAGUAGUUGGCGGGGUAACGGCCCACCAAGACGAUGAUCAUUAGGGGAACUGAGAGGUUGAUCCCCCACACUGGCACUGAGAUACGGGCCAGACUCCUACGGGAGGCAGCAGUAGGGAAUAUUGGACAAUGGGUGCGAGCCUGAUCCAGCCAUGCCGCGUGCAAGGG
rnacentral:rRNA from 1 species